GACGAACGCUGGCGGCGUGCUUAACACAUGCAAGUCGAACGAUGAACUUGGAGCUUGCUCUGGGGGAUUAGUGGCGAACGGGUGAGUAACACGUGAGUAACCUGCCUGGACUCUGGGAUAACUUCGAGAAAUCGGAGCUAAUACCGGAUAGGACCUUGCACCGCAUGGUGUGGGGUGGAAAGUUUUUCGGUUUGGGAUGGACUCGCGGCCUAUCAGCUUGUUGGUGAGGUAAUGGCUCACCAAGGCGUCUACGGGUAGCCGGCCUGAGAGGGUGAACGGCCACACUGGGACUGAGACACGGCCCAGACUCCUACGGGAGGCAGCAGUGGGGAAUAUUGCACAAUGGGCGCAAGCCUGAUGCAGCAACGCCGCGUGCGGGGUGACGGCCUUCGGGUUGUAAACCGCUUUUAGUAGGGAAGAAGCCUUCGGGUGACGGUACCUGCAGAAAAAGGACCGGCUAACUACGUGCCAGCCGCCGCGGUAACAC
rnacentral:rRNA from 1 species